rnacentral:misc_RNA from 1 species
UUAUCAUUUAGAGGAAGGAGAAGUCGUAACAAGGUUUCCGUAGGUGAACCUGCGGAAGGAUCAUUGUCGAAUCCUGCAUAGCAGAACGACCCGUGAACUCGUGAUGCAAGAACCGUGUCUGGAUCGUGCGGGUGCUGUGUCGCCCGUGCGGUCUCGGCUGUACAACGUACCCCGGCGCGGAAGGCGCCAAGGAACAUAAACAAGGAUCGCGUGCGCGAGCUUUGAAAGGUGCCCCCGCAUGCGGGGACACUGGAUGGGCUGCGCCGCCUUCGACUUAACAACAACGACUCUCGGCAACGGAUAUCUCGGCUCUCGCAUCGAUGAAGAACGUAGCGAAAUGCGAUACUUGGUGUGAAUUGCAGAAUCCCGUGAACCAUCGAGUCUUUGAACGCAAGUUGCGCCCGAAGCCAUCUGGCCGAGGGCACGUCUGCCUGGGUGUCACGCAUCAUGCCGCCCCAAACCCCCACGCCACAGUCCCGUCACGGGCUUGGCAGAGGUAGGGCGCGGAGUUGGCCUCCCGUGGCAUCUUUGCUGCGGCUGGCCUAAAUAUGAGCAUUGGAGCGACGUACUCCGCGACGCGCGGUGGUGGUAGCAUUGCCCCUCGGGCAUCUGUCCGGAGCGUCUCUCCAUCGGUGCUUUGUGGCCUACAAUCCAGCUAACGCGACCCCAGGUCAGGCGGGGCUACCCGCUGAGUUUAAGCAUAUC